rnacentral:rRNA from 1 species
AUUGAACGCUGGCGGCAGGCUUAACACAUGCAAGUCGAGCGGAGAUGAGGUGCUUGCACCUUAUCUUAGCGGCGGACGGGUGAGUAAUGCUUAGGAAUCUGCCUAUUAGUGGGGGACAACAUUCCGAAAGGAAUGCUAAUACCGCAUACAUCCUACGGGAGAAAGCAGGGGAUCUUCGGACCUUGCGCUAAUAGAUGAGCCUAAGUCGGAUUAGGUAGUAGGUGGGGUAAAGGUCUACCAAGGCGACGAUAUGUAGCGGGUCUGAGAGGAUGAUCAGCCAGAAUUGGACUGAGACACGGGCCAGACUCCUACGGGAGGCAGCAGUGGGGAAGAUUGGACAAUGGGGGGAACCCUGAUCCAGCCAUGACGCGUGUGUGAAGAAGGCCUUAUGGUUGUAAAGCACUUUAAGCGAGGAGGAGGCUACUGAGACUAAUACUCUUGGAUAGUGGACGUUACUCGCAGAAUAAGCACCGGCUAACUCUGUGCCAGCCGCCGCGGUAAGAC